UAUGCAAAUAUAGAGGAGUCCCCUUUGAUAAUUUUCCAAAAACCCAACGGUACAGUGACUGAACCCUUUUUCAAAUCCCUUUUCUUUCUCGGUUCAUCACAAGAUUCACCAGAUAUGGCGAAGAUUUCGGUUCUGGGUUUCUGUCUUUUCGUGUUUUCGUGGCUUCUUUGCCACUGUUACUGUCUUCAAGACUUUGUUUUGGCGAAUAAUGGCAGCUUCUUCACAGUUUCACAGUUUCAAGCUUCAGGUACCCUAAAUCAGAGUUGAUUUGCCUCCAUUGUUAAUGAAUGUACCAUUGGAAUCUGAUGUAGACAUCAGACAUGAUUACAACACAAGUACGUGAGCUUAGUUUGAGUUACUCGCUUAUUACAGAACAUGGGCCGUCAAAAGAAUGGCUCAGUAAUCUAUCAAAACGCUCAAGAAACUGUUCCGUUGGGGAUUUGUUGCGGCCGGUCUUUUAUCACACUAACCAUGGCAGCCAAUUUAAAGUGGACACCAGUUCAAGCUACUGGAUUUGGCACACAGGUAUGUGUGUGUAUAUACACAUAUUACACACAACACUGUUGAUGUACAGAUACGUGUAUAUCAAGUUAUCUCUUUCUGAAGAUUGGCAUAUGGAAAUAUCAUGCAGCAUCUGGCAUGUCGCCAUCUACACUUCUUCCUUCUUCUUCCUCUGUUCAAAGAUUACAACUGCAAAUAGCGAGGACCAAGAACACAGAGCUGAAAAUUAUCAGUUAGCUAGGCAGGACUCUUUACCGAAAAAUGAAUAAAAAGUAUACGAAUGGAGAAUCUUACCAGCGAUAAUGAGGAAACGGAUUCUUGAAGCUGCCCUGUUGUACAAUAUCUUGUCAAACGGUAUUAUUACAUCGAAGCAGUUCGGAGGAACAAGACAUGGUAACACAUAAAUCCAAGCUGUUUUCUCCAUCUGGAUCUCGCCGGAAACCUGUCUGCAAAUCUUAUGAGCGGCUUUCAUCCAAUGGCCUUCAGACAUGUAGAUGUUCGAUAACAUGGAGUAGUUAGCCGGGUUGGAAGGCUCCAAUUCGACAAGUU